CCUACGGGAGGCAGCAGUAAGGAAUAUUGGUCAAUGGAGGCAACUCUGAACCAGCCAUGCCGCGUGCAGGAAGAAGGCCCUAUGGGUCGUAAACUGCUUUUGUACCAGAGAAAACCCGAGUACGUGUACUCGGUUGAUAGUAUGGUAAGAAUAAGCAUCGGCUAACUUCGUGCCAGCAGCCGCGGUAAGACGAAGGAUGCAAGCGUUAUCCGGAUUCAUUGGGUUUAAAGGGUGCGUAGGCGGACUGAUAAGUCAGUGGUGAAAUCUCUCAGCUUAACUGAGAAACUGCCAUUGAUACUGUUAGUCUAGAGUAUAGAUGACGUUGGCGGAAUAUGACAUGUAGUGGUGAAAUACUUAGAUAUGUCAUAGAACACCGAUUGCGAAGGCAGCUAACGAAACUAUAACUGACGCUGAGGCACGAAAGUGCGGGGAUCAAACAGGAUUAGAUACCCUGGUAGUCCGCACCGUAAACGAUGAUUACUCGUUGUUGGCAAUAUGACCGUCAGCGACCAAGCGAAAGCGAUAAGUAAUCCACCUGGGGAGUACGCCGGCGAACGGUGAAACGUUAAAGGAAUUGACGG
rnacentral:rRNA from 1 species